rnacentral:rRNA from 1 species
UACAGAGGGGGCAAGCGUUGUCCGGAAUUACUGGGCGUAAAGGGCGCGUAGGCGGCCUCUUAAGUCGAACGUGAAAUCCCCGGGCUCAACCCGGGAACUGCGUCCGAUACUGGGAGGCUUGAAUCCGGGAGAGGGAUGUGGAAUUCCAGGUGUAGCGGUGAAAUGCGUAGAUAUCUGGAGGAACACCGGUGGCGAAGGCGGCAUCCUGGACCGAGAUUGACGCUGAGGCGCGAAAGCCAGGGGAGCAAACGGG